GAUUAUUAUCCCAACUUGAAAAGAUGACUCUCUUUUUCUUUAUUCCAUGCCAAAGGAAAUUUCAGGAAAUGAGUUCAAGCUGUAAUCCUUCCUGCUGCUCCCUCAGUGCCAGUGUAAGAGCAUUCAGGGCCCGAGAGUACAUGGCCUGUGCCAGUAAUACUGAACUAAAGCAUGCUCCACAGUACAGAAAAUGCCACCAAAUCACUAUCUUGAACAGAAAAGGACUUCAAGAUACAAACAUCAGCCAUGUGAGACACAGAAGGAACUGA
rnacentral:lncRNA from 1 species